rnacentral:other from 1 species
UAGGCCCUACUAUGUUUGUGAAGUAACCGGUACAGUUUUGAGCUAACACUUUUGAAAUGGGAGCUCGACUCUGUCUGCAGCGUAUAAGCCUUGUUCCAGAGGACAUGCUAAGCAGUCAGGAGGCACCCACCUGUGGGGAGAGCAGUUCAAAACUCAACGGUCCACGGCAUGGUGGGGUUUUU